rnacentral:tRNA from 153 species
GCACCUGUAGCUCAGCUGGAUAGAGCGCUGCCCUCCGAAGGCAGAGGCCAGAGGUUCGAAUCCUCUCAGGUGCGCCA